rnacentral:rRNA from 1 species
UACAGAGGGGGCGAGCGUUGUUCGGAAUUACUGGGCGUAAAGGGCGCGUAGGCGGCCUCUUAAGUCGAACGUGAAAUCCCCGGGCUCAACCCGGGAACUGCGUCCGAUACUGGAUGGCUUGAAUCCGGGAGAGGGAUGCGGAAUUCCAGGUGUAGCGGUGAAAUGCGUAGAUAUCUGGAGGAACACCGGUGGCGAAGGCGGGUCUCUGGGCCAAUACUGACGCUGAGGAGCGAAAGCUAGGGGAGCAAACGGG